rnacentral:rRNA from 1 species
CCUCGCCGGAAGACCAAGGGUUCCUGUCCAACGUUAAUCGGGGCAGGGUAAGUCGACCCCUAAGGCGAGGCCGAAAGGCGUAGUCGAUGGGAAACGGGUUAAUAUUCCCGUACUUCUUACAAUUGCGAUGGGGGGACGGAGAAGGCUAGGUGGGCCUGGCGACGGUUGUCCAGGUUCAAGUGCGUAGGCUUGAGAGUUAGGUAAAUCCGGCUCUUUUUAAGGCUGAGACACGACGUCGAGCCACUACGGUGGUGAAGUCAUUGAUGCCAUGCUUCCAGGAAAAGCCUCUAAGCUUCAGAUUGUAAGGAAUCGUACCCCAAACCGACACAGGUGGUCGGGUAGAGAAUACCAAGGCGCUUGAGAGAACUCGGGU